rnacentral:tRNA from 1 species
GGAGGAGUGGCCGAGUACGGCUGAAGGCGGCGGUCUUGAAAACCGUUGUGGCGCAAGCUACCGUGGGUUCAAAUCCUACCUCCUCCG